GACGAACGCUGGCGGCGUGCUUAACACAUGCAAGUCGAACGGAAAGGCCCUGCUUUUGUGGGGUUCUCGAGUGGCGAACGGGUGAGUAACACGUGAGUAACCUGCCCUUGACUUUGGUAUAACUUCAGGAAACUGGGGCUAAUACCGGAUAGGAGCUCCUGUUGCAUGGUGGGGGUUGGAAAGUUUCGGCGGUUGGGGAUGGACUCGCGGCUUAUCAGCUUGUUGGUGGGGUAGUGGCUUACCAAGGCUUUGACGGGUAGCCGGCCUGAGAGGGUGACCGGCCACAUUGGGACUGAGAUACGGCCCAGAGUCCUAAGGGAGGCAGCAGUGGGGAAUAUUGCACAAUGGGCGGAAGCCUGAUGCAGCAACGCCGCGGGCGGGAUGACGGCCUUCGGGUUGUAAACCGCUUUCGCCUGUGACGAAGCGUGAGUGACGGUAAUGGGUAAAGAAGCACCGGCUAACUACGUG
rnacentral:rRNA from 1 species